rnacentral:lncRNA from 1 species
AAUGCUGAUUCACUUCUAUACCAAAAGUAUAUAUACUAUUGUAAAUCAACCUAAAGUAUAUGUAUAUAUUAAACUUAAAAAUAAAAAGUAUAUAUAUGAAAAAAACAAAUAUAUAUAUAUAUAUAUAUAACAAAACAAAAAGAAAUAUCUAUAUUUAAAUGAUCAUUUAAAACAGCUGCAAAUAAAAAGGAGAUCUAUAUAUAAAAAAACAAAAAUUGAAAGUAUAAAACACAUAAAAUUAAAACUAAAAGUUAUGACUGUUUAUAUCUACAUACAAUCACUACAAUCUCUAAGAACAGCAAGAUAUAUAUAUUGGAUACUAAUAUAUUUUAUAUGUAAAAAAACAAAAGAAAGCAAGAAAUAAAAAAGAACCAAGGUGGAAAACGGUUACUUCAUGGAGAUAUGCAACAUAUAUUGUGGAUUGAGGUGUCAUGGUGUGAGUAUGGAUUUGGUGUUAAUGGGUUUUGUGUGAAAUUGAGAGAAAAACUUAAGAUA